AGAACGAACGCUGGCGGCAGGCCUAACACAUGCAAGUCGAACGCGACCUUCGGGUCGAGUGGCGCACGGGUGAGUAACGCGUGGGAAUCUGCCCUGUGGUACGGAAUAACAUCGGGAAACUGGUGCUAAUACCGUAUAUCCCCUGAGGGGGAAAGAUUUAUCGCCAUGGGAGGAGCCCGCGUAGGAUUAGCUAGUUGGUGAGGUAAAGGCUCACCAAGGCGACGAUCCUUAGCUGGUCUGAGAGGAUGAUCAGCCACACUGGGACUGAGAUACGGCCCAGACUCCUACGGGAGGCAGCAGUGGGGAAUAUUGGACAAUGGGGGAAACCCUGAUCCAGCCAUGCCGCGUGUGUGAUGAAGGCCUUCGGGUUGUAAAGCACUUUCGCACGUGACGAUGAUGACGGUAACGUGAGAAGAAGCCCCGGCUAACUCGCGCCAGCAGCCGC
rnacentral:rRNA from 1 species